rnacentral:rRNA from 1 species
AUUGAACGCUGGCGGCAGGCCCAACACAUGCAAGUCGAGCGAGCGGCGGACGGGUGAGGAAUGUAUGGGGACUGCCCGAUAGAGGGGGAUAACUACUGGAAACGGUGGCUAAUACCGCAUACUAUAGGAUAACCCAUAUGGGAUUAGCUAGUAGGUGGGGUAAAGGCUCACCUAGGCGACGAUCUCUAGCUGGUCUGAGAGGAUGAUCAGCCACACUGGGACGUAGACACGGCCCAGACUCCUACGGAGGCAGCAUUGUGGAAUAUUGCACCAUGGGCUCAAGCCUGAUGCAGCCAUGCAGCGUGUAUGAAGAAGGCCUUAUGGUUGUAAAGUACUUUCAGCGUGGAGGCGUUACCCGCAGAAGAAGCACCGGCUAACUCCGUGCCAGCAGCCGCGGUAAUUC